UAACAUUGUUACUGUUGUGUUAAAAUUAAGCGAGUGUUAAUUGAAACAAUACAUUAAAAUGUAAUUAGUGUGAAGAAGUUUAAAGUGUACAUCAAAACUAUACAUUUUGCAAGUUUGGCGUGGUAUUGAAUGACCCCAUGCCCUAAAAUAUGUUUGCGCUGCUGAUGGUAAUGUAGCCCGAGGCACCUCCACAUCGAAGGACACACAUCCUGGAGUGCGAAAUGAAGCAUGCCGCUGCGUCGCAAGGACAUUAACUCUUCGCAGCGGAGUAGUGGAGUGGUCGGCUUUGCUGGUUGUUGGCGGCCGUGGCAAAUUGUAACUCGCGUAACUCAAACACGAGCAUGUCGGGCACAAAGUGCAGAAAGCUGGGAAAGCGCGCAGUGUGUGCUCUCGGAUACAUGUACGCUGAACCUGCUGAGGGUGCGGCCAUGAGGAGGUUAUUUAAGACUUAUUUGUUGCUUGAUGGUUUCGGUUAUACUAUUAAGUUACUCCGGCGGACUCCCGGAUAGUGGUUGCUGAUAAACUGCUCGAUAUGGAAAACAGUCUCGAUUCUUCACGUGGUGAAUUCUAAGGUGGAUGACUUCAAAGCACUGGCCGAUGACAGCGAAUCACAAACAAUAAUCCAUCACAUUACCAGAUUUCCAUGCGGUACAUGAAAGCAAUACUUGCAUCUCCCGACAAAAAGAUGAUUGAUACGAAAUCCAUUAAAUUAUGUGCUAAUACAUUCAAAGCACACGCCAUCCGAACGGAUUUGAUGUGUGUUUAAUUUCUGCGCAAACAAAUAAAUAUUUGUGUUUGUUCAGUAAACGAAAAGCAGCCAAA